UGGGGAAUAUUGCACAAUGGGCGCAAGCCUGAUGCAGCCAUGCCGCGUGUAUGAAGAAGGCCUUCGGGUUGUAAAGUACUUUCAGCGGGGAGGAAGGGAGUAAAGUUAAUACCUUUGCUCAUUGACGUUACCCGCGGAAGAAGCACCGGCUAACUCCGUGCCAGCAGCCGCGGUAAUACGGAGGGUGCAAGCGUUAAUCGGAAUUACUGGGCGUAAAGCGCACGCAGGCGGUCUGGUAAGUCAGAUGUGAAAUCCCCGGGCUCAACCUGGGAACUGCAUCUGAGACUGGCAAGCUUGAGUCUCGUAGAGGGGGGUAGAAUUCCAGGUGUAGCGGUGAAAUGCGUAGAGAUCUGGAGGAAUACCGGUGGCGAAGGCGGCCCCCUGGACGAAGACUGACGCUCAGGUGCGAAAGCGUGGGGAGCAAACA
rnacentral:rRNA from 1 species